UGGUGGUGCACUGCCUAUAGAGAAGAGCACCCUUCUUCUUACCCUCAUUCACAGUCAAGAGCAUAACUUCCAAGUAUCACUUCUUAAAUGCCAAGUCUCAUUCAGUUCAGUUCAGUGAGCACUUAUUGAACUGAAGCAUCUGGUAAGUUUAGAGAUCCUUUUCACCAGUGGAGACUCACUGGCAUAACAGAGUGGGAGUGCGGAAUCAGGAGACUCCAUGGAGAAGGUGAUAUGUGAAUUAAUUUUGAAGGACAGAAAGCAUUCCACAGAUAUUUGUCGAUGCUGUCCCUUUCCAUUUGAAUGAAAACACCUUGAAGGCAGAAACUUUCCUUUAGCCUUGGUGUCCCCCAGUAUCCAGCAAAGGUCUGACUCAGCGAGCUAGCCAGCUGACUUAGCACAGAUGCACGUUGCUGAUCUGAACAAGCACUGCGCCAUUUGGAUCAAUGUGAUGAUUUGAGAUGCCUGGCCCAAUGGUUAUUUGGAAAAGAAUCCCUAAAAUUAGCUGCAUUAGCAAUCUCUGGCAACUGGCUCUUUGGGUUAAUUGGCACAUUUAUGUUUCCUUUGAGGGAUGCCAGGGAAGAGUAUCCUCAAAUUCCUCUAACAAGCAAGUUUGGGAUGACUCUCUGCCCGGAGUGCUACUACAUAUUACAAAUCAGAGCUAUAACCAUUAUUUUGCAGUUCAUCUCAAUAGAGAUGUAAUGGACCCAAUGUUCCUGUCUCCACAGAGUGUAAAACAGCUAUUUCCUGACUGCUCUGCUUUGGAGGGUGUGGGUGGCAGUUGUGCUAUGAUACCUGCAAUGUUCACCCAAAUCUUCCAUAUCUAUGAUCAGGUGCAGAGU